rnacentral:rRNA from 4 species
AUGCUGGAGGUAUCAGAAGUGCGAAUGCUGACAUAAGUAACGAUAAAGCGGGUGAAAAGCCCGCUCGCCGGAAGACCAAGGGUUCCUGUCCAACGUUAAUCGGGGCAGGGUGAGUCGACCCCUAAGGCGAGGCCGAAAGGCGUAGUCGAUGGGAAACAGGUUAAUAUUCCUGUACUUGGUGUUACUGCGAAGGGGGGACGGAGAAGGCUAUGUUGGCCGGGCGACGGUUGUCCCGGUUUAAGCGUGUAGGCUGGUUUUCCAGGCAAAUCCGGAAAAUCAAGGCUGAGGCGUGAUGACGAGGCACUACGGUGCUGAAGCAACAAAUGCCCUGCUUCCAGGAAAAGCCUCUAAGCAUCAGGUAACAUCAAAUCGUACCCCAAACCGACACAGGUGGUCAGGUAGAGAAUACCAAGGCGCUUGAGAGAACUCGGGUGAAGGAACUAGGCAAAAUGGUGCCGUAACUUCGGGAGAAGGCACGCUGAUAUGUAGGUGAAGUCCCUCGCGGAUGGAGCUGAAAUCAGUCGAAGAUACCAGCUGGCUGCAACUGUUUAUUAAAAACACAGCACUGUGCAAACACGAAAGUGGACGUAUACGGUGUGACGCCUGCCCGGUGCCGGAAGGUUAAUUGAUGGGGUCAGCGCAAGCGAAGCUCUUGAUCGAAGCCCCGGUAAACGGCGGCCGUAACUAUAACGGUCCUAAGGUAGCGAAAUUCCUUGUCGGGUAAGUUCCGACCUGCACGAAUGGCGUAAUGAUGGCCAGGCUGUCUCCACCCGAGACUCAGUGAAAUUGAACUCGCUGUGAAGAUGCAGUGUACCCGCGGCAAGACGGAAAGACCCCGUGAACCUUUACUAUAGCUUGACACUGAACAUUGAGCCUUGAUGUGUAGGAUAGGUGGGAGGCUUUGAAGUGUGGACGCCAGUCUGCAUGGAGCCGACCUUGAAAUACCACCCUUUAAUGUUUGAUGUUCUAACGUUGACCCGUAAUCCGGGUUGCGGACAGUGUCUGGUGGGUAGUUUGACUGGGGCGGUCUCCUCCUAAAGAGUAACGGAGGAGCACGAAGGUUGGCUAAUCCUGGUCGGACAUCAGGAGGUUAGUGCAAUGGCAUAAGCCAGCUUGACUGCGAGCGUGACGGCGCGAGCAGGUGCGAAAGCAGGUCAUAGUGAUCCGGUGGUUCUGAAUGGAAGGGCCAUCGCUCAACGGAUAAAAGGUACUCCGGGGAUAACAGGCUGAUACCGCCCAAGAGUUCAUAUCGACGGCGGUGUUUGGCACCUCGAUGUCGGCUCAUCACAUCCUGGGGCUGAAGUAGGUCCCAAGGGUAUGGCUGUUCGCCAUUUAAAGUGGUACGCGAGCUGGGUUUAGAACGUCGUGAGACAGUUCGGUCCCUAUCUGCCGUGGGCGCUGGAGAACUGAGGGGGGCUGCUCCUAGUACGAGAGGACCGGAGUGGACGCAUCACUGGUGUUCGGGUUGUCAUGCCAAUGGCACUGCCCGGUAGCUAAAUGCGGAAGAGAUAAGUGCUGAAAGCAUCUAAGCACGAAACUUGCCCCGAGAUGAGUUCUCCCUGACUCCUUGAGAGUCCUGAAGGAACGUUGAAGACGACGACGUUGAUAGGCCGGGUGUGUAAGCGCAGCGAUGCGUUGAGCUAACCGGUACUAAUGAACCGUGAGGCUUAACCUU